rnacentral:rRNA from 1 species
GACGAACGCUGGCGGCGUGCUUAACACAUGCAAGUCAACGAUGCUUAUGUAGCAAUAUGUAAGUAGAGUGGCGCACGGGUGAGUAACACGUAUGCAAUCUGCCUUUAAUCCGGGGAUAACAUUUCUAACGAGGUGCUAAUACCCGAUGACGCAGCGGCACCGCAUGGUGACAGUUGUUAAAGUUUCGGCGAUUAAAGAGGAGCAUGGCGUUUGAUUAGCUAGUUGGUAGGGUAACGGCCUACCAAGGCGACGAUCAAUAGCUGGUCUGAGAGGACUGAUCAGCCACACUGGGACUGAGACACGGCCCAGACUCCUACGGGAGGCAG